AGUGUCAUGUCCCUCUUUUCAUGUUCAUCUUGAAGACUUUCUCACAUGGCAACAUAUAACCUUCAUGUGAAAAUGGGUUUUAGAGUAGUAAAGGAACAAUAGAUCAUAUUUACAUGAAUUAUAUGUGUAGCAGGACACUGAGAUUGUGUCCUGUACAUGCCUGGGAGUUAAUAUUGUAUUGCUUUCAAACUUUUUCAGAGUAUUUUUCCUCAUUUGAACUGUCUUCUUUGGAUAAAUUCCCAGUACUGGAAUGGAUUUGCCAAAGGUUUCAAACUGUGCUUCCCAGGACUUUGGCUAUUAUCAAGGCUGGCACCCCCCUAAAACGAAUCUCCUCAGUUUUAGUCAACUGCAUUUAUUGAACAUCACAUUUGUGUUCAUUUUGUGUGUGUGUGUGUGCAUAUAUGCGAGUGCAAAAAGUUUUCCCAAAUGUACUUGUCAGAACUUUAGUAUUCUAUCCCAGUAAUCU
rnacentral:lncRNA from 1 species